CUAGUAACUGCGAGUGAAGAGGGAAAAGCUCAAAUUUAAAAUCUGGUAGUCCCUGUGGCUGCCCGAGUUGUAAUUUAGAGAAGUGUUAUCCGCGCUGGACCGUGUACAAGUCUCCUGGAAGGGAGCAUCAUAGAGGGUGAGAAUCCCGUCUUUGACACGGACUACCAGGGCUUUGUGAUGCGCUCUCGAAGAGUCGUGUUGUUUGGGAAUGCAGCACUAAAUGGGUGGUAAAUUCCAUCUAAAGCUAAAUAUUGGCGAGAGACCGAUAGCGAACAAGUACCGUGAGGGAAAGAUGAAAAGAACUUUGGAAAGAGAGUUAAACAGUACGUGAAAUUGCUAAAAGGGAAACGCUUACAGUCAGUCGCGUUGGCCGGGGAUCAACCUUGCUUUUUGCUGGGCGUACUUCCUGGUCGACGGGUCAACAUCAGUUUUGAUUGCUGGAUAAAGGCUAGGGGAAUGUGGCAUCUUCGGAUGUGUUAUAGCCCUUAGUUGUAUACAGCAGUUGGGACUGAGGAACUCAGCACGCCGCAAGGCCGGGUCUUUGACCACGUACGUGCUUAGGAUGU
rnacentral:rRNA from 1 species